UACGGAGGAUGCAAGCGUUAUCCGGAAUUAUUGGGCGUAAAGCGUCCGCAGGCGGCUAGUCAAGUCUGCUGUCAAAGCGCGGAGCUUAACUUCGUAAAGGCAGUGGAAACUGAUUAGCUAGAGCAUGGUAGGGGUAGAGGGAAUUCCCGGUGUAGCGGUGAAAUGCGUAGAGAUCGGGAAGAACACCAGUGGCGAAAGCGCUCUACUGGGCCAUGACUGACACUGAGGGACGAAAGCUAGGGGAGCGAAAGGG
rnacentral:rRNA from 1 species